rnacentral:rRNA from 1 species
GUUAAGGCAUGACGGCCUGUACCCGAAACCGACACAGGUGGGGUGGUAGAGAAUACCGAGGGGCGCGAGGUAACUCUCUCUAAGGAACUCGGCAAAAUGGCCCCGUAACUUCGGGAGAAGGGGUGCCACCGCAAGGUGGUCGCAGUGAAGAGGCCCAGGCGACUGUUUACCAAAAACACAGGUCUCCGCUAAGUCGCAAGACGAUGUAUGGGGGCUGACGCCUGCCCAGUGCCGGAAGGUUAAGGAAGCUGGUCAGCGUAAGCGAAGCUAGCGACUGAAGCCCCGGUGAACGGCGGCCGUAACUAUAACGGUCCUAAGGUAGCGAAAUUCCUUGUCGGGUAAGUUCCGACCCGCACGAAAGGCGUAACGAUCUGGGCGCUGUCUCGGAGAGAGGCUCGGCGAAGUAGAAUUGUCUGUGAAGAUGCGGACUACGUGCACCCGGACAGAAAGACCCUAUGAAGCUUUACUGUAGCUUGGUAUUGUGCCCGGGCUCUGAAUGCGCAGGAUAGGUGGGAGGCUUUGAUCCAUUGCUUGUGGGUGAUGGUGAGCCACUGGUGAGAUACCACUCUUUCAGAGCUAGGGUUCUAACGGUCACCCGUUAUCCGGGGACCGGACAGUAUCAGGUGGGCAAUUUGACUGGGGCGGUCGCCUCCUAAAAGGUAACGGAGGCGCGCAAAGGUUCCCUCAGGCUGGUUGGAAAUCAGCCGACGAGUGUAAAGGCAGAAGGGAGCUUGACUGUGAGACCUACAAGUCGAACAGGGACGAAAGUCGGCCUUAGUGAUCCGACGGUUCUGAGUGGAAGGGCCGUCGCUCAACGGAUAAAAGUUACUCUAGGAUAACAGGCUGAUCUCCCCCAAGAGUUCACAUCGACGGGGAGGUUUGGCACCUCGAUGUCGGCUCAUCGCAACCUGGGGCUGAAGUCGGUCCCAAGGGUUGGGCUGUUCGCCCAUUAAAGCGGUACGCGAGCUGGGUUCAGAACGUCGUGAGACAGUUCGGUCCAUAUCCGGUGCACGCGCAGGAACAUUGAGAGGAUUUCUCCCUAGUACGAGAGGACCGGGAGGAACGCACCUCUGGUGUACCAGUUAUCGUGCCAACGGUAAACGCUGGGUAGCCAUGUGCGGAGUGGAUAACCGCUGAAAGCAUCUAAGUGGGAAGCCCACCUCACGAUUAGUGUUCCCAUGGCAGAAGCCAGUAAGGUCACGGGAAGAACACCCGUUGAUAGGCUCUACGUGGAAGCGUGGCAACGCGUGAAGCGGAGGAGUACUAAUAGACCGAGGGCUUG